UCAUGCAGCGUUCUGUUCCUUUAGCUGUUCAAAGGCUUCGAGGACCUUGUUUGUUUUGAAACAAGUCACCAGCCUCCUCCAACCACAUCUUCCCGACCUCACAGGACAGCCUGGCAGAAAGUCCGACCUGAGGACCUGAGGAACAGUCGGACCUGGGCCACCCUCUGUCACAGCCCUGCCCCAUCCUUGUCCUGCUUUCUGGUUGCCAGUUUGCUUGUGUUUUUAGGGUGGGUUCACAUCUGACCCUAGGGCCCUCUGCUCACCUGACUUUCUGUUAAGGUUCCUGUCCUCCUUCUCACCGUGAGCCUGCCCCCAGGGAGAUGACAUGGCCAAGGCACUGGAAAAAAUCUCUGUGGGGCUUAGGAAGACCCCAGAAGAGGAUUACCCUUUGAGAAAAAAUGGACGGGGGGUGUGUCCACUUAAAUAAAGAGAUGUUAAAUAGCUUCUAGCUGAGGACAAGCGUGGAACACCAGAGACGUACCCAGAGAAAGAGAGAAGAGGGCCAAGAAGGUGUAUUCACUGAUGGGAAGGCAUCGUCCCAGUGUUUCCUUGGGGUUGCCUGAGCCACACUCUUCAAAAACAUCUCAGGAGCAUCGCUUGGUAUCCAUUCAUUUAUUCAUUAAAUAAAAAUCUUUUGUCUUGUGCCUGACAAGAUAGCCUAUCUCUUGGCACAGAGCAGAUGUUCCAUGAAUGUUAGUUAUGUUAU